CCGAUAUCCAACUCAGUUCAACUACGAUCACCUUCUGAUGCAGAUCACAUUGGUCUGUUAGUGCUUCUACAGAAUCGAGUCAUUAAUCAGUCAUUUCGAUGCACUGGAACGUGGUCUUCUUUAAAUAAGAACAAUUGCUGUGUAUCUACCGCAUUCUUUAACAAUACAUGCAUAGGAUCAUGUAGUCCGUAGAAGUCGUGAAUUGGUUUCAAGAAACUUGAUCAAGAAAUAAAAGAUAGACUGAAGAUGGAGUUAACAAUAUUCCCAAGUUAGAAGAAACAUUUGAAGAAUUUAUGUUAUUGCCAUAAUGCUUAAAAUUCGGAGAUCACUAUAAGCAUUGUGCUGGAAACAAUUUAUACCUAGUCCUCAACUGGUUAUGUAUUAAUAUUUAGAGCUAAUUUAACCAAAUUAUGUAAUACCUUAAUAGGCAGCAAUAGUCAUUUAAGUAAAGUUAAGGAUUUAAAUCAAAAUGCUUUAGAAGAUAUAUUCCCCAAUAUUUUAAAUGUACCUAAAUGAUAAUAUUAUUCGGUCGUUUAAUUGUCUUGAACCAUAAAUGUAUUGAAAAUCUUAUCGUGCAUCAUCAACAAACAAUAACAAAAUCAUUAGCAAAUUACCAAUAUAAUUCCGCAUAAAGUAUUAACAACAAAAUUUUGUUUAUUCUCGAAAGACUUUUUAGUUGCUGUAUUAAUUUUACAAAAUAUUUAUAAACAUUAAUAUUAGUAGAAACAACAUUCUUCGUGAUAUUUUUUUCGGAAAAGAUUUUUCUUUUCAUAUUCCAAUUUAAAAACAACCUUCGAAGCAGCAAAGAAAUUCGGAAGGCCAAAUUUCUUAUUAUGAUAAUAUGUUUCGAAACCUCUGUUUGAUGCUGACUGCCUCUAUGGCGUGGUUAUGUUGCUGCGCGGUAUGACUACAACUCUAAGGAACCGGGUUCAUAUCCUGGAUCGGACAAAGUGAUAUUUGGGUUUUUCUUCUCACUUUCAGCCCGGAGUCUGGAAUAUGUACCCGACGUGGCGGCAAGCUUGUCCCUUAUUACAUGGGACGGAACACACUUGACGAAAAUUGAAUGCUCUGGUUACUCUUCUGCCUACUCCUUCGGGGAUAAAAGUGCGAUGUGUGUACUUAAUACAUUGUGCGUCUAAAAGUUAUGCUAUACAGUAUAGCUUAUUCCUGAGACUACGGGAAGAUAUACCGUGAAGACAAAAUCUGUUAAGCGAAGUUGGUUUGUGACCGUCACUAACGGGCAGUGAUCAGAUAUUUGCUCGUUUUGACGUUCGCAAAAUGAACUCGCUUGACUAUAUUCUGCGAUGGAUAAGAAGACUGACAACAGUGACCAAACAAUAAUUUAUUAUAAAAUGAUUUUAGGUCAAAGAUUUCAAACAUAUAGAGUGGAGAUUGGAAAGAUUGUGUAUACAACAGGUUAUAGUUUUGUUACAUUAAAGUUAUUGAUAUUUCGUAGCAUUAUUAAAACCUUGUACAAAAUAUACAUAUUAUAAAUGUUUAGUUUCAACUAAGUAAAAUUGUUUUUUUUUGUAUUGCGUUUUAUUGUGUGUAUGUAUACAUGCAUAAUGCAUGUAUAUGUUUUAUAUACAUGUACAAAUUAGAUAUCGCACACGAUAUAUUUUAAACUUUUAAUUACUAAUAUAAUAUACGAGUAUAAAUAUUGUUAAAACAUAUACUUUUAUAACAUAAUUGUGUAUUCAAUAAAGAAGUUUUUUACUAAGUUUAUUUCGAUUCAAUCCAUAGUACUCACGUAUACUAUAACUUUUUUUUGGUUCUUUGUUUAUAAUCUAUAUCAUUAUAAUAUUUUCCCUAAGAUUCAUAUGGACCUAUAAGUAUCAUUAGAAUAUUUUUUUAAUAUGUUCAAAUACUUCAAAAUUAUGUAACCAUGUAGCUUCUGUAAUACGUUAAUAUAAGUAAUUAAUAAACUAAAUAAAGUACAUAGUUAAGUGUAUCCGUUCGCAAGUAGCUGUAAAUAAAUUGUAUUUGGGUAUUUUAUAAUGUAUUUUAUGCUACCAUUAAUUAAAUUUUAUUUAAUGCCACUAAU